CCUACGGGGGGCUGCAGUGGGGAAUAUUGGACAAUGGGGGCAACCCUGAUCCAGCCAUGCCGCGUGUGUGAAGAAGGCCCUCGGGUUGUAAAGCACUUUCAGUGAGGAAGAACGCCUGGUGGUUAAUACCCAUCAGGAAAGACAUCACUCACAGAAGAAGCACCGGCUAACUCCGUGCCAGCAGCCGCGGUAAUACGGAGGGUGCGAGCGUUAAUCGGAAUUACUGGGCGUAAAGCGCGCGUAGGUGGCUUGAUAAGCCGGUUGUGAAAGCCCCGGGCUCAACCUGGGAACGGCAUCCGGAACUGUCAAGCUAGAGUGCAGGAGAGGUAGGUAGAAUUCCCGGUGUAGCGGUGAAAUGCGUAGAGAUCGGGAGGAAUACCAGUGGCGAAGGCGGCCUACUGGACUGUCACUGACACUGAGGUGCGAAAGCGUGGGUAGCAAACAGGAUUAGAUACCCCGGUAGUC
rnacentral:rRNA from 1 species